rnacentral:rRNA from 1 species
UAUUGGUCAAUGGACGAAAGCCUGAACCAGCCAAGUAGCGUGCAGGAUGACGGCCCUAUGGGUUGUAAACUGCUUUUAUACGGGGAUAAAGUGAGGUACGUGUUCCUUAUUUGUAUGUACUAGUAUCGAAUAAGGACCGGCUAAUUCCGUG